UGCACUCCUGCGGCAAGGAAAGGAGUCCACUCCCUGUCUUUGGCUUGAGGUCAUUGCUGAGGAACAGGGUGGGGGUGGGGUAAGGAGACUGAGGGAGAAUGGAUUCUCCCAGAACGUGUGAGCAAACUGGAGAGAGUUUGGCGUCAAGAUCUCUUUAACGCCUGAACUCGAGCCUACAACCUUUCCCUGCCCCCUCCAAUGGGGGCUUGAACCUCCUGGCUGGACUCCGGCAGGGUGAGCAGCAGUCCUGGGCUCUAAAAGGACUUCAGUUAGAUACAGCCAGGAAGGUGACUGCUCGGGAAGGAGCGGGUCCUAGGAUCCAUUAGGGAACUUCUGGCGUGUUUGUCCCCAACUGGCACUCUACAGUCCUUCGCAUCGCUAGCCUAAACGUGGUGGAAACUAGAGAGUAUAGGGAGCAGGCUAACAGGCUAACAUAGGGGACAUUCUCUUCCCACGCCAGACCCUCCAAAUCCUGCACUGUGGUUUUUGUCUCCCCCAUCCAAACUCAGGACCUCAUACUGCCACAGUGAUGUAGGUUAACGCACUUCCCCGCGCCUCUGGCGGGUUUGCCAAGCUGUGGGGUUGGCGCUACCAGUGCCCAGGUCUCCGCUCCCUUCCCCUCCCCGCAUCUCCACCGCCCUACUCUGCAGAGACUGACUGCUGAGCCAGGGUCCUGCACCCACCACUUGAGCCGGCGCUGCAACCCAGGGGUCUCUAGGGGACUUUCACACUCGCUCAUCUGCUGGUCAGGACCGCAGGUGCCUUUGGCAUUAACACAGCCACUGAGGAGUGCUCAGAUUCUCUUGCCUCCAGCAGAAGGCUGUGCGAGCAUAACCCAAAUCAACUGAGCUCUGGCCAAAAACAACCCCCACGCUUCUGCUCUGAGAAACAGGCAUGAAUUAUGUGCACACCGUAACAGACACAUCGCCACUCUACGACAGCCAUAGACAUCGAUCGAUGCACACUCACGCAAAGGGACUAAGCAUCUCCUCUUUUCCUAAGCUCAGUUUUGUGAGUCCACAUUGCCUGUUCUCCCUGUUCUCAGGUGCGUGGAGAAGAUAAACCUGUGUUCGAAGUUACUCGAAAGAGAAAUACCACCUACUCCCAAGGCUUCCGGCUUUCCCCUGCCAUAGCUUGAUUGACGCAGAGGAUCCCCCAAGUGCCCAGGGAGAAGGGGGGAUUCCAGCAAUGUGUAGAAGACGAUGCCUGAGGCUUGUGGAAGUCCACACCUGGUGUUCAGUUUCUGGGAAUCAAAGAGGAACUUGGGCUAAACUCAACCUUCAGCCCACACAAUGGAAUUGGACAAAAAUGAGGUAACGGUUUUCUGUGUGAGUCACUCUGCCUGAUUCUGUUCAGAGAGCACUGUAGGGUGAGCAGCCAGAGUCCAGGCAAAUGUUUCAGCCAUCCAAGAACUGGCAGGCAGCCCAGAAGACACUCACCUGAUGAUGGACUUGCCGGAUGAAACUUAGAGGAAAUGGUUCCCAACAGCUGCAGAAAGAACCUCUUGGCUCCCGCACAGCAACACUCUUCUCAAUUAAAAUCGCUGUCAUCGUU